rnacentral:lncRNA from 1 species
ACGCGCUUGUCCCCAGAACUCAAACCCCAGAGUCCCUCCGGUAGGUGGUACAGAGGCGAGUUUGAUCCUAAACAAAACAGGGCAGGGUCUUCCUGUUUGUUUUCUUCCUCCAGCGGGGAGCAACAGCUGCUAAUUGGAUAGUGAAGUGACCGAUUUAUUAUUCUCUUACCCGUGCUGAGCAGAGCUGUAGGAAAUCUCCGGGACUGGGAGCAGCACAGGGGGGUAUCUCGGGGUCUCUCUGAGAAGGAGUUGACAGUGGGGACCAAAGCUGCCGGCUGCCAUGUUUUAUUUGGCCUGCCCAGUGUUUAAAAAAAAUGUUUUUAAAUAGAUGCUGACAUUUUUAAAAGGGGAAGAUUAUACAUACACUUCUACAUCUCCGACUUGUGUCAAGAAAUGGGAAGUUCUGGGCCCAGAUCCCCAUAAGUCAGCGAUGAGGGGGGCCGAGCAGGGGCUGCCCGUUAGACGGCCGCAGAGUCCCAGCCCCCAGCCCUGCUCACCUUUCUUACCUCUCUGGCCCCGUCGGCAUUUGAGCCUGGGACCCCAGACGAAAGGAUACGCUUCCUUUUAGAACCCCUGCCAAUCUGAGGACGGGGCCACCCCACAGACGCCGUGGCUCAGCAAGCAGACCAAUGGCCGAGGAGUCUGGCAAGGGGCGCUUGAUGAGAGUGGAGGUUGUAAAUCACCCUCCAUGCAAUGGUUCAUCAUAAAGGAUAUGGAGCAAAAUUAGAGGAGGCACGAGAAGGAAAGCCGGUGAUGAACAAGGAAAGUGCCUGGUUGAAGCUAGCUUGCAAUCCCAAAGUCAGAAGGUUGCCUGGGAAGCCAUGAAACAAAGCCAAAUCAAGGCAAAGCAGACACAUGGAGAUUUUGAGACUGAGAAGAGGAAAACUGAGGACAUUCAUGUGAGAUGGUUUCAAGUUUCCCUUAGAAGGAGAAGUUAUCUUCAGAAGGUCAGGUUGGUGAGGUGGGAGUUCAAAAACAACAAAGUAUGUAGCUACCAUUGUGAGGAAGACCAUGGAAAAUGGACGAAUCAGAAUGAAAGGCUUUCUGAACAAGACCCAGAGACAGAAGCAGAUAAUGCAAGUGUCAUCUACAUCUGGCAAAAGCCAAAGGUUUGGAAGAUGGAAAAAGGAAUCCAGGCAAAAAGGAGCCCAAGAUUGAAGUGAAUGACCAGGUGCACCAGUUCAAAUGCAAUCAGGAGGGACAGGGGUAGAGGGAGAAGCCUAGAGCAGCGCUUCUCAAACUGACUAUUCAAGUCACCUGGAGAUCUUGGUGAAAUGCAGACUCUGGUGCAGUAGGUCCUGGCGGGAACUUGAAAUUCUGCAUUUUGACCAAGGUCCAAGGUGAAUGUCCAGUGCUGUUGUCCUUGGCCUGCAGCAGGAGGAGCAGGGAUCUAAGACUUGGAGAGCAAAUGUCAAGCUCAGAAGAAAGACUGGAAGUUUGGGGACAAAACCCAAAUAUGGCUAAAGAAAGCCUGUAGGAUGAAGUUGGAAGUUCCAGAGCCUUCUCUUCACAUAAUGGGACAUGCAAGGGGGAAACCAAAUCAAAAGUGUAGAAUGCGUCGCUGGAUGUCUUUGACAUGUCCAUUCUCCCAGAGGCUCCUGGCAUCUCUUGUAAACCACAAUCUGUUAGACUGUAGCUUCAGCAAAGAUUUCUGGAAGACAUCACUGAAAUUCUGAGUGUCCAAUGUGGGCAUGAAGCCAGUUUUCUAGCUUCCAGCCUGUCCAAAUCUGAGGCUAUUACAGUAUUCAAAUGGCAGCCUGUGAACUCACAUUUCAAGGAGACUGUUCCUCUUGCAUCCUGGACUUCCACCAUGGAAGGUUCACGUCCUUGAGUCUAAUGACUUGGUCCUCACCAGG